CCGCCGCCGCCGCCGCGUGACGGACGCACGGACGGACUCCACAAGGUAGGAAGCCUGCGCCGAGCGCACCGCCGCACCCACCACAGCACACAGGACACACGCGGGCCCCGCGCCCGCCCAGGCACACGCGGCACACACGGCACACACGGCAGGCAGGCCAGGCACACGCAUCCGCAGGACGCACCCGCCACGCAGACACGGACGCCCGCCGCGGUCAAGAUGUAUGUGCCACCGACCCUCGCCCCGCUGGACGGACGGACGGACGCGCGCCGUCAGGUAGGACACGCAGCGCCGACCACUGACACGCACGGCCGCCCACAGGGGCUCAGGGACCCGGGUGGACACCGCGACCUCCCAGUGUGGCUCGGUCCCGAGACGCCGCUCCCAAGACGCCGCCCGGUGGCCGCAGGACUUCCCUGCGACGUCACGGGUCUUCUUGAAGGCUUGGUAAUUUUUCCAAACAGUUUUUACGUUUUUAAGGCU
rnacentral:lncRNA from 1 species